AAGAGAGAGUGUUUUGUUGGAAUAUUACUGGCGCCAUCUCUCACCGCGCCAGGAGCUUUGCAGCGCCAGACGGCCCCGCUCCACACCACAAUAUUCUUCCUUGGAACCUGCGGGCUCCGCUGAGCCGCUGCGUGAUCUUCUAUUCGCGACUCUGUCGCGCCGGCUAAGCGAGUACCCGGUGAAGGCGAGCGCAACGAGCCCUAGCACAUGGCAUCCA